rnacentral:rRNA from 1 species
CCUACGGGUGGCUGCAGUGAGGAAUAUUGGUCAAUGGCCGAGAGGCUGAACCAGCCAAGUCGCGUGAGGGAAGACGGCCCUACGGGUUGUAAACCUCUUUUGUCGGGGAGCAAAGCGAGUCACGUGUGACUCAUUGAGAGUACCCGAAGAAAAAGCAUCGGCUAACUCCGUGCCAGCAGCCGCGGUAAUACGUAGGGGGCAAGCGUUAUCCGGAUUUACUGGGUGUAAAGGGAGCGUAGACGGCGCUGCAAGUCCGGAGUGAAAGUCCAUGGCUUAACCAUGGUACUGCUCUGGAAACUGUGGAGCUUGAGUGCGGGAGGGGCAGGCGGAAUUCCUAGUGUAGCGGUGAAAUGCGUAGAUAUUAGGAGGAACACCGGCGGCGAAGGCGGCCUGCUGGACCGUAACUGACGUUGAGGCUCGAAAGCGUGGGGAGCAAACAGGAUUAGAUACCCUUGUAGUC